AUUGAACGCUGGCGGCAUGCCUUACACAUGCAAGUCGAACGGUAACAGGUCUUCGGAUGCUGACGAGUGGCGAACGGGUGAGUAAUACAUCGGAACGUGCCUAGUAGUGGGGGACAACUACUCGAAAGAGUGGCUAAUACCGCAUGAGAUCUACGGAUGAAAGCAGGGGAUCGCAAGACCUUGUGCUACUAGAGCGGCCGAUGGCAGAUUAGGUAGUUGGUGGGAUAAAAGCUUACCAAGCCGACGAUCUGUAGUGGGUCUGAGAGGACGAUCAGCCACACUGGGACUGAGAAACGGCCCAGACUCCUACGGGAGGCAGCAGUGGGGAAUUUUGGACAAUGGGCGCAAGCCUGAUCCAGCAAUGCCGCGUGCAGGAUGAAGGCCUUCGGGUUGUAAACUGCUUUUGUACGGAACGAAAAGCCCCGGGUUAAUACCCUGGGGUCAUGACGGUACCGUAAGAAUAAGCACCGGCUAACUACGUGCCAGCAGCCGCCGUAA
rnacentral:rRNA from 1 species